rnacentral:rRNA from 1 species
AAAGAUGAAUUAAUGCUCCAUAAAACAGGGGUUCCGCAUGGGAAUAUUCGUUAAAGAUUCAUCGCUGAUAGAUAGGCAUGCGUUCCAUUAGGCAGUUGGCGGGGUAACGGCCCACCAAACCGACGAUGGAUAGGGGUUCUGAGAGGAAGGUCCCCCACAUUGGUACUGAGACACGGACCAAACUCCUACGGGAGGCAGCAGUGAGGAAUAUUGGGCAAUGGCCGAGAGGCUGAACCAGCCAAGUCGCGUGAAGGAUGAAGGAUCUAUGGUUUGUAAACUUCUUUUAUACUUUAAUAAAGUGAGCCACGCGUGGCUUUUUGUAUGUACCG